rnacentral:rRNA from 1 species
AUUGAACGCUGGCGGUAUGCUUAACACAUGCAAGUCGAACGGAAACGAUACUAGCUUGCUAGUAGGCGUCGAGUGGCGGACGGGUGAGUAACGCGUAGGAAUCUGCCUGAUAGUGGGGGAUAGCCCGGAGAAAUUCGGAUUAAUACCGCAUAAUCUAUUCGUAGUAAAGUGGGGGACUUUCGAGCCUCACGCUAUCAGAUGAGCCUGCGUAAGAUUAGCUAGUUGGUAGGGUAAAAGCCUACCAAGGCGACGAUCUUUAGCUGGUCUGAGAGGAUGAUCAGCCACAUCGGGACUGAGACACGGCCCGAACUCCUACGGGAGGCAGCAGUGGGGAAUAUUGGACAAUGGGGGCAACCCUGAUCCAGCAAUACCGCGUGUGUGAAGAAGGCCUGAGGGUUGUAAAGCACUUUCAAUUGUGAAGAAAAGUUAGCGGUUAAUAACCGUUAGCCUUGACGUUAACUUUAGAAGAAGCACCGGCUAACUCCGUGCCAGCAGCCGCGGUAAUACGGAGGGUGCAAGCGUUAAUCGGAAUUACUGGGCGUAAAGCGUGCGUAGGCGGUUUAUUAAGUCAGAUGUGAAAGCCCCGGGCUUAACCUGGGAACUGCAUUUGAAACUGGUAAACUAGAGUAUGGUAGAGGAAAGUGGAAUUUCUGGUGUAGCGGUGAAAUGCGUAGAUAUCAGAAGGAACAUCAAUGGCGAAGGCAGCUUCUGGACCAAUACUGAC